UCGGGAAUUUUGGGCAAUGGGCGAAAGCCUGACCCAGCAACGCCGCGUGAAGGAUGAAGUAUUUCGGUAUGUAAACUUCGAAAGAAUAGGAAGAAUAAAUGACGGUACUAUUUAUAAGGUCCGGCUAACUACGUGCCAGCAGCCGCGGUAAUACGUAGGGACCAAGCGUUGUUCGGAUUUACUGGGCGUAAAGGGCGCGUAGGCGGCUUGACAAGUCACUUGUGAAAUCUCUGGGCUUAACCCAGAACGGCCAAGUGAAACUGUCAUGCUAGAGUGCAGAAGGGGCAAUCGGAAUUCUUGGUGUAGCGGUGAAAUGCGUAGAUAUCAAGAGGAACACCUGAGGUGAAGACGGGUUGCUGGGCUGACACUGACGCUGAGGCGCGAAAGCCAGGGGAGCAAACGGGAUUAGAUACCCUUGUAGUCCCUGAGCGGGCUGGCAAG
rnacentral:rRNA from 1 species